rnacentral:misc_RNA from 1 species
GACGAACCGUCCAAACGUUAUUCGGUAUCACUGGGCUUAAAGCGUACGUAGGCGGCCUGGUAGGUGAGAUGUGAAAUCCCACGGCUCAACCGUGGAACUGCGUUUCAAACCACCAGGCUCGAGGAAGACAGGGGUGAUGGGAACUGAUGGUGGAGCGGUGAAAUGCGUUGAUAUCAUCAGGAACACCGGUGGCGAAAGCGCAUCACUGGGUCUUAUCUGACGCUGAGGUACGAAAGCUAGGGGAGCGAACGGG